rnacentral:lncRNA from 1 species
UAUUCAGAUAUAAAUAAGUGGAUAAUUGAGCUUGAAUGAGAUAUUAAUAUAAAAUUAAAAAUUCCCCACGCUUACUAAGCCCACAAGGAUAAAGAUGGAUAAGGGAGAACACCUGGCAGACACCUCCUGUGUGGUUUGAACGAGAAUGGCCCCCGUAGGUGAAUAUAUUUGAAUGAUUGUUCUGCAAGGAUUAGGAAGUGUGGCCUGGCUGGGCGUGGUGCGUCUCCUGGAGGGUGGACUUUGAGAUUUCAAAAUGCCACACCAUUCCCAGUUAGCUAUCUUUCUGCUUACAAGGGGCAGAGAAGGUGCCUUGCCUGUCUCCCCCUGAAACUGUAAGCCAGCCCCCAGCUAAACGUUAUAAGCUCUCCUGGUCAUGGUGUCUCUGCAAAGGAAUAGAAAGGUAACUAAGACACCCCUUGCUCACAUGGUCACAGUGAAGAAACGUCACAGUCUGAGUCACUCUGAAAUCCUGAGCCAUGCAGUGGGCAGCCUGGCACUUAGGACUCGUGACAGUUCCACCUUGAGACAUACCGCCCCACUAUAACUGAGGAAACCUCAGGAAAAGCCCAACCCAAGGCAAGUCCUACAGGAUGACCUCACAAGAACCAAAGUCCUACAGGAUGACCUCACAAGUCCUACAGGAUGACCUCACAAGAACCAAAGAUUUCAGACCAAAGGGACCAGUGAUGGGGAAACCAGUGUCUGAUUUAGCCGUGGGUCCACAGUUAGGAGACUCAACUCUCAGAGGCUGAGGAGUCAAUGCUAACAAUGGAUCUGAGGUAGUUUCCUGGUUGUUGACACUUGUACUGUGGUUGUAUAAGAGAAUGCGCUCAUAUGUAGGAAAUGCAUACUUAAAAGCAUUUAGGGGUGAUACGUUGGAAGUUACAAAUAGAUGUAGAUAAUAGGAUUAUUUAUGAUAUGCUCAAUGUUUGUGAUUGGCUCAAAGUUUGGAAAUUAGCAUAAAAUACAUUUUAUCAAUUCUUACCUCAUUUUUUUAAAUCUAUUUUUGACUGGACCAUGUUGAAAAUUCAGAGAGGAAAUGUCCAAUGCUCGUGGGAGCCAUUUGCCAUCAUGUUAUUAUUGAAAUAGAAUGCAAUUAAAGGGG